rnacentral:rRNA from 1 species
GACGAACGCUGGCGGCGUGCCUAAUACAUGCCAGUUGAGCGCUGAAGGCUGGUACUUGUACCAACUGGAUGAGCAGCGAACGGGUGAGUAACGCGUGGGGAAUCUGCCUUUGAGCGGGGGACAACAUUUGGAAACGAAUGCUAAUACCGCAUAAAAACUUUAAACACAAGUUUUAAGGUUGAAAGAUGCAAUUGCAUCACUCAAAGAUGAUCCCGCGUUGUAUUAGCUAGUUGGUGAGGUAAAGGCUCACCAAGGCGAUGAUACAUAGCCGACCUGAGAGGGUGAUCGGCCGCAUUGGGAAUGAGACACGGCCCAAACUCCGACGGGAGGCAGCAGUAGGGAAUCUUCGGCAAUGGACGAAAGGCUGACCGAGCAACGCCGCGUGAGUGAAGAAGGGUUUCGGAUCGUAAAACUCUGUUGGUAGAGAAGAACGUUGGUGAGAGUGGAAAGCUCAUCAAGUGACGGUAACUACGCAGAAAGGGACGGCUAACUACGUG